rnacentral:rRNA from 1 species
GAGGGAAUGGUGAAAAGUACCCCGGGAGGGGAGUGAAAUAGUACCUGAAACCGUGCGCUUACAAUCCGUCAGAGCCUUCCACUUUGUGGUGGGGUGAUGGCGUGCCUUUUGAAGAAUGAGCCUGCGAGUCAGGGGCAUGUCGCGAGGUUAACCCGGGUGGGGUAGCCGUAGCGAAAGCGAGUCUGAAUAGGGCGUAUCCCCGUGAGGGGUGUAGUGGCAUGUUCUGGACCCGAAGCGGAGUGAUCUACCCAUGGCCAGGGUGAAGCGCGGGUAAGACCGCGUGGAGGCCCGAACCCACUUAGGUUGAAGACUGAGGGGAUGAGUUGUGGGUAGGGGUGAAAGGCCAAUCAAACUCCGUGAUAGCUGGUUCUCCCCGAAAUGCAUUUAGGUGCAGCGUCGCAUGUUUCUUGCUGGAGGUAGAGCUACUGGAUGGCCGAUGGGCCCUACUAGGUUACUGACGUCAGCCAAACUCCGAAUGCCGGUACGUGUAAGUGUGGCAGUGAGACGGCGGGGGAUAAGCUCCGUGCGUCGAGAGGGAAACAGCCCAGAUCGCCGGCUAAGGCCCCUAAGAGUGUGCUAAGUGGAAAAGGAUGUGCAGUCGCUUAGACAACCAGGAGGUUGGCUUAGAAGCAGCCACCCUUGAAAGAGUGCGUAAUAGCUCACUGGUCAAGUGAUUGUGCGCCGAUAAUGUAGCGGGGCUCAAGCACACCGCCGAAGCCGCGGCAAUACCUGUAUGGGUAUUGGGUAGGGGAGCGUCCUGCAUCCGGUGAAGCAGCCGUGUGAACGAGCUGUGGAGGGUGUGGGAGUGAGAAUGCAGGCAUGAGUAGCGAUAAGGCAAGUGAGAACCUUGCCCGCCGAAAGACCAAGGGUUCCUGGGCCAGGCCAGUCCUCCCAGGGUGAGUCGGGACCUAAGGCGAGGCCGACAGGCGUAGUCGAUGGACAACGGGUUGAUAUUCCCGUACCCGUGUGUGAGCGUCCCUGAUGAAUCAUCGGUACUAACCAUCCAAAAGGUGGCUGACUUCUCUUUCGGGAGUUGCGGUCGCCGGCUGCGUGGGACCUUCGGUGGUAGUAGUCAAGCGAUGGGGUGACGCAGGAAGGUAGCCGUACCAGUCAGUGGUUGUACUGGGGCAAGCCUGUAGGGAGAAACCUAGGCAAAUCCGGGUUUCAUUAAUCCUGAGAGGUGAUGCAUAGCCGAUUGAGGCGAAUUCGGUGAUCCUAUGCUGCCAAGAAAAGCCUCUAGCGAGUGCACACACGGCCCGUACCCCAAACCAACACAGGUGGUCAGGUAGAGAAUACUAAGGCGUACGAGUGAACUAUGGUUAAGGAACUCGGCAAAAUACCCCCGUAACUUCGGGAGAAGGGGGACCCACACACCGUCAACACCCUUGCGGUGGGCAGCGGUAGUGGGUGGCACAAACCAGUGAGAAGCGACUGUUUACUAAAAACACAGGUCCGUGCGAAGUCGCAAGACGAUGUAUACGGACUGACGCCUGCCCGGUGCUGGAAGGUUAAGAGGACCGGUUAGCAGAACUUGUUCUGCGAAGCUGAGAAUUUAAGCCCCAGUAAACGGCGGUGGUAACUAUAACCAUCCUAAGGUAGCGAAAUUCCUUGUCGGGUAAGUUCCGACCUGCACGAAUGGCGUAACGACUUCUCAACUGUCUCAACCAUAGACUCGGCGAAAUUGCACUACGAGUAAAGAUGCUCGUUACGCGCGGCAGGACGAAAAGACCCCGGGACCUUCACUACAACUUGGUAUUGAUGUUCGGUACGGUUUGUGUAGGAUAGGUGGGAGACUGUGAAACUCGCACGCCAGUGUGGGUGGAGUCAUUGUUGAAAUACCACUCUGAUCGUAUUGGACCUCUAACCUCGGACCGUAUAUCCGGUCCAGGAACAGUGCCUGGUGGGUAGUUUAACUGGGGCGGUUGCCUCCUAAAAAGUAACGGAGGCGCCCAAAGGUUCCCUCAACCUGG